GACGUAGGGCGCGAGCGUUUGUCCGGAUUUAUUGGGCGUAAAGAGCUCGUAGGCGGCCUGUCGCGUCGACCGUGAAAACCCGCAGCUCAACUGCGGGCUUGCGGUCGAUACGGGCAGGCUGGAGUUCGGUAGGGGAGACUGGAAUUCCUGGAUGUAGCGGUGAAAUGACGCAGAUAUCAGGAAGAACACCCGUGGCUAAGGCGGCUCUCUAGUACGGUGACUGACGCUGAGACGCGAAAGCGUGGGGAGCGAACAGG
rnacentral:rRNA from 1 species